CCAUUAUCUCCCAAAAUUUUUCGAAACGGACUUAUUGACAUUGUUGUUCUCAAUCUUGUUCCGUAUGGAAAUGCUAAUCUUUUGAAAAACGGCACAAUCAUCUGUCAGCAUGGUCCAUUUGAGUGUUUCUAAAAUACAGUGGAAGCAUGUGCGAUCAAUUCCAUGCCUCAGGAUGAGUAUUUCGAAUUCAUACGUUGUACGGAGAAUUUCAUUGCUGAAGGAAAGGCAGAGGAAUCGUCUUCUUGCUUGUACAAAACGCCCGGCCACGGGAAGAUUCUUCAUGACUGCUACACAAGUGGGAGGUGACAAAUGCUAGAAUUACGCUGUGCAAAUGUAACUGCUGCUCUUAAACCUCCUCAUGAAUAUGUUCCAUGGGUGACUGUGAAUCAAGUACCCAUACGUAUGGCAAGUUUUCUCAACACUCAGAUCUCACUCUCUUCGUAUUCAUCCUAUUAUGAAUUUCGAUCGACGUUUUUGU